rnacentral:rRNA from 1 species
AACAGGCGUAAAAGGCCUCCGAAUACGUUAGCAUGGGAUAAUGGAAUACGACUUCGGUCUUGUUUCGUUGGUUUCGCUUGGCUGAAGUAAUGAUUGAUAGGGACAGUUGGGGGCAUUAGUAUUUAGUUGUCAGAGGUGAAAUUCUAGGAUUUACUAAAGACUGACCAAUGCGAAAGCAUUUGCCAAGGAUGUUUUCAUUAAUCAAGAACGAAAGUAGGGGGAUCGAAGACGAUCAGAUACCGUCGUAGUCUCUACCGUAAACUAUGCCGACCAGGGAUCCGGAGAGUUUGCAUGGAUGACUCCCCGGGCACCUUGUGAGUAAUCAUAAGUGUUUGGGUUUUGGGGGGAGUAUGGUCGCAAGGCUGAAACUAAAGGAAUGACGAAGGAAAAACCRWAGCC